rnacentral:rRNA from 1 species
AGGAUGAACGCUGGCGGCGUGCCUAACACAUGCAAGUCGAACGUCCUGUCUCGCAAGAGGCAGGGAGUGGCGGACGGGUGAGUACCACGUGGGUCAUCUACCGUGAGGUGAGGAAUACCGGCGAGAAAUCGCCGACAAGACCGCAUAGGCUCGAUGCAAGUCGAGCAAAGCUCUUUCGAGAGAGGGAGCGCCACACGAGGAGCCUGCGCCCGAUUAGCUAGCUGGUGGAGUAACGGUUCACCAGGGCGACGAUCGGUAGCUGGUCUGAGAGGACGAUCAGCCACACUGGGAUUGAGAACGGCCCAGACUCCUACGGGGGGCAGCAGUGAGGAAUUUUCGUCAAUGGGGCAACCCUGAACGAGCAACGCCGCGUGCAGGAAGAAGGUUUUCGGAUCGUAAACUGCUUUUCUCGGGGAAGAGAAUGGACGGUACCCGAGGAAUCAGCCCCGGCUAACUACGUGCCAGCAGCGC